rnacentral:rRNA from 1 species
CAUGCAGUCGAGCGAUGAAGCCCAGCUUGCUGGGUGGAUUAGUGGCGAACGGGUGAGUAACACGUGAGUAACCUGCCCUUAACUCUGGGAUAAGCCUGGGAAACUGGGUCUAAUACCGGAUAGGAGCGCCUACCGCAUGGUGGGUGUUGGAAAGAUUUAUCGGUUUUGGAUGGACUCGCGGCCUAUCAGCUUGUUGGUGAGGUAAUGGCUCACCAAGGCGACGACGGGUAGCCGGCCUGAGAGGGUGACCGGCCACACUGGGACUGAGACACGGCCCAGACUCCUACGGGAGGCAGCAGUGGGGAAUAUUGCACAAUGGGCGCAAGCCUGAUGCAGCGACGCCGCGUGAGGGAUGACGGCCUUCGGGUUGUAAACCUCUUUCAGUAGGGAAGAAGCGAAAGUGACGGUACCUGCAGAAGAAGCACCGGCUAACUACGUGCCAGCAGCCGCGGUAAUACGUAGGGUGCGAGCGUUAUCCGGAAUUAUUGGGCGUAAAGAGCUCGUAGGCGGUUUGUCGCGUCUGUCGUGAAAGUCCGGGGCUUAACCCCGGAUCUGCGGUGGGUACGGGCAGACUAGAGUGCAGUAGGGGAGACUGGAAUUCUUGGUGUAGCGGUGGAGUGCGCAGAAUCAGGAGGAACACCGAGAGCGAAGGCAGGUCUCUGGGCAUAUAACAGAGGAUGAUGAGAGAUUGUAUGGCUCA